UACAUGGGGUGCAAACGUUGCUCGGAAUCAUUGGGCGUAAAGCGCGCGUAGGCGGUUACUUAAGUUGGAUGUGAAAGCCCUCGGCUUAACUGAGGAAGUGCAUCCAAAACUGAGUAGCUAGAGUACGAAAGAGGGUCGCGGAAUUCCCGGUGUAGAGGUGAAAUUCGUAGAUAUCGGGAGGAACACCGGAGGCGAAGGCGGCGACCUGGGUCGAGACUGACGCUGAGGAGCGAAAGCAUGGGGAGCGAACAGG
rnacentral:rRNA from 1 species